rnacentral:lncRNA from 1 species
AUCUGAUUCCCUAAAGCUCUAAAAGCUGAGUUUUCUAAAACAUCUGAGAAUGGCUUCCAGCCAAACUUUGGCUGCACUUUUAAUGGCAUAUGGGCUGAAGAUGUAAUGAAUGGCACAAUCAAAUUCCAUCUUUUUCUAAUAUCUGCCUGUGGAUUAAAAUGAAAUUCAGAAAUUUGGAGUAAGGCCUGGUCAUAAGUCUUUC